rnacentral:rRNA from 1 species
AGGGGCCCCUCUCGGGUUACCGAAUUCAGACAAACUCCGAAUGCCAAUUAAUUUAACUUGGGAGUCAGAACAUGGGUGAUAAGGUCCGUGUUCGAAAGGGAAACAGCCCAGACCACCAGCUAAGGUCCCAAAAUAUAUGUUAAGUGGAAAAGGAUGUGGCGUUGCCCAGACAACUAGGAUGUUGGCUUAGAAGCAGCCAUCAUUUAAAGAGUGCGUAAUAGCUCACUAGUCGAGUGACACUGCGCCGAAAAUGUACCGGGGCUAAACAUAUUACCGAAGCUGUGGAUUGUCCUUUGGACAAUGGUAGGAGAGCGUUCUAAGGGCGUUGAAGCAUGAUCGUAAGGACAUGUGGAGCGCUUAGAAGUGAGAAUGCCGGUGUGAGUAGCGAAAGACGGGUGAGAAUCCCGUCCACCGAUUGACUAAGGUUUCCAGAGGAAGGCUCGUCCGCUCUGGGUUAGUCGGGUCCUAAGCUGAGGCCGACAGGCGUAGGCGAUGGAUAACAGGUUGAUAUUCCUGUACCACCUAUAAUCGUUUUAAUCGAUGGGGGGACGCAGUAGGAUAGGCGAAGCGUGCGAUUGGAUUGCACGUCUAAGCAGUAAGGCUGAGUAUUAGGCAAAUCCGGUACUCGUUAAGGCUGAGCUGUGAUGGGGAGAAGACAUUGAGUCUUCGAGUCGUUGAUUUCACACUGCCGAGAAAAGCCUCUAGAUAGAAAAUAGGUGCCCGUACCGCAAACCGACACAGGUAGUCAAGAUGAGAAUUCUAAGGUGAGCGAGCGAACUCUCGUUAAGGAACUCGGCAAAAUGACCCCGUAACUUCGGGAGAAGGGGUGCUCUUUAGGGUUAACGCCCAGAAGAGCCGCAGUGAAUAGGCCCAAGCGACUGUUUAUCAAAAACACAGGUCUCUGCUAAACCGUAAGGUGAUGUAUAGGGGCUGACGCCUGCCCGGUGCUGGAAGGUUAAGAGGAGUGGUUAGCUUCUGCGAAGCUACGAAUCGAAGCCCCAGUAAACGGCGGCCGUAACUAUAACGGUCCUAAGGUAGCGAAAUUCCUUGUCGGGUAAGUUCCGACCCGCACGAAAGGCGUAACGAUUUGGGCACUGUCUCAACGAGAGACUCGGUGAAAUCAUAGUACCUGUGAAGAUGCAGGUUACCCGCGACAGGACGGAAAGACCCCGUGGAGCUUUACUGUAGCCUGAUAUUGAAAUUCGGCACAGCUUGUACAGGAUAGGUAGGAGCCUUUGAAACGUGAGCGCUAGCUUACGUGGAGGCGCUGGUGGGAUACUACCCUAGCUGUGUUGGCUUUCUAACCCGCACCACUUAUCGUGGUGGGAGACAGUGUCAAGCGGGCAGUUUGACUGGGGCGGUCGCCUCCUAAAAGGUAACGGAGGCGCUCAAAGGUUCCCUCAGAAUGGUUGGAAAUCAUUCAUAGAGUGUAAAGGCAUAAGGGAGCUUGACUGCGAGACCUACAAGUCGAGCAGGGUCGAAAGACGGACUUAGUGAUCCGGUGGUUCCGCAUGGAAGGGCCAUCGCUCAACGGAUAAAAGCUACCCCGGGGAUAACAGGCUUAUCUCCCCCAAGAGUUCACAUCGACGGGGAGGUUUGGCACCUCGAUGUCGGCUCAUCGCAUCCUGGGGCUGUAGUCGGUCCCAAGGGUUGGGCUGUUCGCCCAUUAAAGCGGUACGCGAGCUGGGUUCAGAACGUCGUGAGACAGUUCGGUCCCUAUCCGUCGUGGGCGUAGGAAAUUUGAGAGGAGCUGUCCUUAGUACGAGAGGACCGGGAUGGACAUACCUCUGGUGUACCAGUUGUCGUGCCAACGGCAUAGCUGGGUAGCUAUGUGUGGACGGGAUAAGUGCUGAAAGCAUCUAAGCAUGAAGCCCCCCUCAAGAUGAGAUUUCCCAACUUCGGUUAUAAGAUCCCUCAAAGAUGAUGAGGUUAAUAGGUUCGAGGUGGAAGCAUGGUGACAUGUGGAGCUGACGAAUACUAAUCGAUCGAAGACUUAAUCAA